CUCCUGAUAAAUAUGCAGCAGUCAAUGGAAAUAGGAAGUCCACUACUCAAGAGCUGAUCAUGGAUAGGUUAGGUGGUCUGGAUAUUCCUCCUCCAAUACUACCAAAACCAAAACCUUAAA